GUUGUCGUACGGUUGGUUUUCCUAAGCAUGGCGCGUUGACGACAAACUCAUAAUCCUUUGGUUGAAGGUUCGAAUCCUUCUGGGCCCACCA
rnacentral:tRNA from 1 species